CGGCGGACGGGUGAGUAACGCGUGGGUAACCUGCCUCAUACAGGGGGAUAACAGUUGGAAACGGCUGCUAAUACCGCAUAAGCGCACAGUACCGCAUGGUACGGUGUGAAAAACUCCGGUGGUAUGAGAUGGACCCGCGUCUGAUUAGGUAGUUGGUGGGGUAACGGCCUACCAAGCCGACGAUCAGUAGCUGACCUGAGAGGGUGACCGGCCACAUCGGGACUGAGACACGGCCCAA
rnacentral:rRNA from 1 species